CUACUCACUGCCUGCCAUUCUGAAAAGGACCCGUUUACUCCUACCCUUUGCUUCCUGUCUGCCAGCCAGUUCUCUAUCCACAUCAAUACUGUACCCCCAAUAGCGUGUGCUUUAAAUGUGUAUACUAAUACCGUAUGUGGCACUUUGUCGAAAGCC